rnacentral:rRNA from 1 species
GCUUUUUUGCUGAGAGUGGCGGACGGGUGAGUAAUGCUUGGGAAUCUGGCUUAUGGAGGGGGAUAACUGUGGGAAACUGCAGCUAAUACCGCGUAUUCUCUGAGGAGGAAAGGGUGGGACCUUAGGGCCACCUGCCAUAAGAUGAGCCCAAGUGGGAUUAGGUAGUUGGUGGGGUAAAGGCCUACCAAGCCUGCGAUCUCUAGCUGGUCUGAGAGGAUGACCAGCCACACUGGAACUGAGACACGGUCCAGACUCCUACGGGAGGCAGCAGUGGGGAAUAUUGCGCAAUGGGGGGAACCCUGACGCAGCCAUGCCGCGUGAAUGAAGAAGGCCUUCGGGUUGUAAAGUUCUUUCGGUAAUGAGGAAGGGAUGUUGUUAAAUAGAUAGCAUCAUUGACGUUAAUUACAGAAGAAGCACCGGCUAACUCCGUGCCAGCAGCCGCGGUAAUACGGAGGGUGCGAGCGUUAAUCGGAAUAACUGGGCGUAAAGGGCACGCAGGCGGACUUUUAAGUGAGAUGUGAAAUCCCCGAGCUU